rnacentral:rRNA from 1 species
AUGCAGUCGAGCGGAGAUGAGGUGCUUGCACCUUAUCUUAGCGGCGGACGGGUGAGUAAUGCUUAGGAAUCUGCCUAUUAGUGGGGGACAACAUUCCGAAAGGAAUGCUAAUACCGCAUACGCCCUACGGGGGAAAGCAGGGGAUCUUCGGACCUUGCGCUAAUAGAUGAGCCUAAGUCGGAUUAGCUAGUUGGUGGGGUAAAGGCCUACCAAGGCGACGAUCUGUAGCGGGUCUGAGAGGAUGAUCCGCCACACUGGGACUGAGACACGGCCCAGACUCCUACGGGAGGCAGCAGUGGGGAAUAUUGGACAAUGGGCGGAAGCCUGAUCCAGCCAUGCCGCGUGUGUGAAGAAGGCCUUUUGGUUGUAAAGCACUUUAAGCGAGGAGGAGGCUACUUAGAUUAAUACUCUAGGAUAGUGGACGUUACUCGCAGAAUAAGCACCGGCUAACUCUGUGCCAGCAGCCGCGGUAAUACAGAGGGUGCGAGCGUUAAUCGGAUUUACUGGGCGUAAAGCGUGCGUAGGCGGCUGAUUAAGUCGGAUGUGAAAUCCCUGAGCUUAACUUAGGAAUUGCAUUCGAUACUGGUCAGCUAGAGUAUGGGAGAGGAUGGUAGAAUUCCAGUGUAGCGGUGAAAUGCGUAGAGAUCUGGAGGAAUACCGAUGGCGAAGCAGCCAUCUGGCCUAAUACUGACGCUGAGUACGAAAGCAUGGGGAGCAAACAGAUUAGAUACCCUGGUAGUCCAUGCCGUA